rnacentral:sRNA from 1 species
AAUCCUCCAUCUGCUGCGGGCAGAUGAAGUGGAUGUGACUGUCCACGCCCCCCGCCGUCAGAAUGCGGCCCUCGCCCGCGAUAAUCUCUGUUCCGGGGCCGAUGAUGAUAUCCACGCCCGGUUGCGUGUCCGGGUUGCCCGCCUUGCCGAUGGCAUGGAUCAACCCGUCUUUCAGCGCCACAUCGGCCUUGAAGAUGCCCGCAUGGUCGAUGAUCAGCGCAUUGGUGAUGACGGUAUCGACUGCGCCGCCCGCCCGCGUCACCUGAGACUGCCCCAUGCCGUCGCGGAU